CUAUAGCAUAAUGAGUAGUAUCAGUUAUACACUAGUUACACUAUAGCAUAAUGAGUAGUAUCAGUUAUACACUAGUUACACUAUAGCAUAAUGAGUAGUAUCAGUUAUACACUAGUUACACUAUAGCAUAAUGAGUAGUAUCAGUUAUACACUAGUUACACUAUAGCAUAAUGAGUAGUAUCAGUUGUUUUGAAGUUUAGGCUUUUUCCAAAGUGUUCCGAUAACAUUGACAUGUCCAUGUUUUUGAACAAUGCAGAAAUAUCUAGCAAUACAAUAAUAACAAUACAAACAUAAUAACUAUAUAUAAGAGGGAAAUGAAGAAAUCAUAAAGAGUAAUAUCAGAGUCCGGCAGUCAUGUGGGGCCCCCGUGUUGAGGAUCAGCACGGUGGAGAGUUUGUUAUAUAUUAGUAUGAUGCCUCCAGUUUAUCUUCGUCAUGCCGUUCCAUUAAUACAGAGGCUUAGUCUGAAUAGUCUUUGUGGAUUCCCUUGGCCUCCCUUUCACUUGCCUGGUCCUGACUUUGAAACCUGAAGACUGAAAACAACAAAAGAACAAAGCCAUUUAAAAGGUUAUUGUUUUAUUUUAUUAUUGCUUUUUACUGGACUGGGACAGGCUGUUUUAUCUUUUCAUAUUUUUGUUAGAGGGACCAAUAAAUGAUCAAGUUUUCAUCAAGUCUAUAUUCAUCAAUUUUUGACCUAAGGAAGUACACUGCUUUAAUCCACGAUUUGAAAGUAGAAAAUAAGAUAUUGUUGAAAAGGAUGAGUUUCACUGGAUCAAAAGGUGAUGCUAAUGUAUGUUUCCAGCAGCAGUGUCCCUAAUGCUGCAGGGUCUCAUCGUUCCUUCUCUAUGUUGGACUGAACUGUUUCAUCUCUUCACAAGUGAAUUCCCCAAAGCCCUAAAGUAUGACAGGAGCAGAGGUGUUCACCCAGAGGAGACCAUCUACAGUAUGACAGGAGCAGAGUUGUUCACCCAGAGAAGGAGACCAUCUACAGUAUGACAGGAGCAGAGGUGUUCACUUGAGGAGUCUUCUCGGUCAAGAUAAGAUUUCCUGCUUGCCAUACUAGAGGGAGAUACUGGUUAUCUUUCAACUCCACACCAUGGGAUGAUUGACCUGGAUCUUAACCAGAACAGACUUCACCAGACACAGUAGAAGUGAGGUCACAGGAAACAGACUGAUUUGUGAAGAGGGACUACAUCACCCAGAAAGCAUUGUCCCUGGAGGCCAGAGCUUUGUUGGAUGUAAUGCCUUGUUCUCAACCUCUGAUUGUUCGGAAAUAAGACUUGUAAACUCGGUGCGUCAAGUUGUGUGCAUUCACGUACCUUGAACCAAGGUCAACCAAAGUACCGAGGUCAACCAUAAACUAACAGUACAGCUAUCAUGCUGGUAUGAAACCGCAGUUGAAAAUAGGUUUUCUAGAUCAGUCCAAACAUUCCUCCUGACUGUUAUAAUCAACAUGUUUGAAUGCUAAAAUGAUAUGGGAUGUUUUUCUAUUGCAACGCUUGAAUCACGUUCAUAUUUUUGGUUAUAACCUGCACAACUUUUCAGCUCUUGGUUGUUUGCUUUUAAAAAUACUUUUUAGUACUAACUUUUGUUUGUUUACAUUAAACUACUAGUUUUUGUUGUUUCCA